rnacentral:rRNA from 1 species
CCAGACUCCUACGGGAGGCAGCAGUGAGGAAUAUUGGUCAAUGGCCGGAAGGCUGAACCAGCCAUGCCGCGUGAAGGUCAGUGCCCUCUGGGCGUUAAACUUCUUUUGUGCGGGAGCAAUAAUGGUCACGUGUGGCCAGACGAGAGUACCGUACGAAUAAGCAUCGGCUAACUACGUGCCAGCAGCCGCGGUCAUACGUAGGAUCCGAGCAUUAUCCGGAGUGACUGGGUGUAAAGAGUUGCGUAGGUGGCAUAAUAAGUAGCUAGUGAAAUCUGGUGGCUCAACCAUUCAGACUAUUAGCUAAACUGUUAAGCUCGAGACCGUUAGGGGCAUCUGGAAUUUCUAGUGUAGGAGUGAAAUCCGUAGAUAUUAGAAGGAACACCAAUAGCGUAGGCAGGAUGCUGGGACGGUUCUGACACUAAGGCACGAAAGCGUAGGGAGCAAACGGGAUUAGAUACCCCCGUAG